AGAGUUUGAUCCUGGCUCAGGAUGAACGCUAGCGACAGGCUUAACACAUGCAAGUCGAGGGGCAGCACAGGGUAGCAAUACUUAGGUGGCGACCGGCGCACGGGUGAGUAACGCGUAUGCAACUUACCUAUCAGAGGGGGAUAGCCCGGCGAAAGUCGGAUUAAUACCCCAUGAAACAGGGGUCCCGCAUGGGAAUAUUUGUUAAAGAUUCAUCGCUGAUAGAUAGGCAUGCGUUCCAUUAGGCAGUUGGCGGGGUAACGGCCCACCAAACCGACGAUGGAUAGGGGUUCUGAGAGGAAGGUCCCCCACAUUGGUACUGAGACACGGACCAAACUCCUACGGGAGGCAGCAGUGAGGAAUAUUGGUCAAUGGACGCAAGUCUGAACCAGCCAUGCCGCGUGCAGGAAGACGGCUCUAUGAGUUGUAAACUGCUUUUGUACGAGAGUAAACGCUCUUACGUGUAAGAGCCUGAAAGUAUCGUACGAAUAAGGAUCGGCUAACUCCGUGCCAGCAGCCGCGGUAAUACGGAGGAUCCAAGCGUUAUCCGGAUUUAUUGGGUUUAAAGGGUGCGUAGGCGGUUUGAUAAGUUAGAGGUGAAAUACCGGUGCUUAACACCGGAACUGCCUCUAAUACUGUUGAACUAGAGAGUAGUUGCGGUAGGCGGAAUGUAUGGUGUAGCGGUGAAAUGCUUAGAGAUCAUACAGAACACCGAUUGCGAAGGCAGCUUACCAAACUAUAUCUGACGUUGAGGCACGAAAGCGUGGGGAGCAAACAGGAUUAGAUACCCUGGUAGUCCACGCAGUAAACGAUGAUAACUCGCUGUCGGCGAUACACAGUCGGCGGCUAAGCGAAAGCGAUAAGUUAUCCACCUGGGGAGUACGUUCGCAAGAAUGAAACUCAAAGGAAUUGACGGGGGCCCGCACAAGCGGAGGAACAUGUG
rnacentral:rRNA from 1 species